ensembl:lncRNA
UGCAAACAGCUAUAAACAUUUAAGACUCCAGUGACCACAUCAAAUGUGCACUGGGAAAAAAAAAUGAAAGAUGUGCCACAGGUCUGCAGUCAGCCCAGCUUUCUCCCUGACACCAGGGACAUCCUGAACUUUACAGGGGAAAGCCCCCGCUGUCUGCACACUCAGCACUGUGCCGUGCGUGGGCGUUCGGGCCUGCGGAUACACACAGGAGGGAGCAUUUACCGAGCAUCAGACUCUGCUCUCCAGUCCUCAGUCACACCGAGGAGUGUGGCCCUCCCCCUCCUGAGGACACAGAGGCUCAGAGAGGUUCGGCAACCUGUCCAAGGACGCCCAGCAGCAGGCGGCAGGAGGGUGGCCACCUGCCCCCGUCACCAGAACUGAAAGACAGCAGUGGGAAGAGAGCGCCCACUUGUUCACCGCCCCUCCCCCAGCUGAGCUUUGCGGGAGCCCGACCCUGUCCCAUCACUGGAUGCGUGAUGUAUGACACAAGGAAGAGCUUCUGAGCGGCUGGCAGCACCUCUGCUCUGCGCCUGCGCCUGUCAUCUGUGUGGCCGUGGGCUAGAUAUCACAGCACAGCCAGGGGAGGGCAGUCUGGACAAGUGACCGGCAGCCAGCUUCCUCUGCCUGGUCUCACUGUUAAAGCCGCCGCACCAGAUGUGACUCUGGAGGAAAAUCCUAACAAACACAUUUCCAGUCUUCUGAGAGCCUGGUCUCCUAGUUGCUGGGUAUGAAUAGCCCUCAGCCCACUCCCACCAACUCUCCUCAGACACUGUCCGCCCACCCUCAGGCCACACCCCUGCUGCCAUCCUUGGCUGCUCCAGGUACAGGAUGGGGGCCAGCGGCUCUGGCCUUGGGGACAGUGAGUCUGAUAUGUUCAUUGAGGUGACUGGGCCGGUCAAGAAGACUGUCCUUAGACAGGGGCCUGGGCAGUUCUGUCCUGCAAGAGAAGGGCAGGUCCCUACUGUGUCUGUAGACACUAAGCCAGCCACCAGCCCGCUCAGCCCUAGCUCACACAUCUGGACCGGGGCAGCUGUUCUUUUCUGUAAAGGGCCACAUGGUAAAUAUGUUACUGUCGCUUAGUCUUGCUCUGCAGCUUCUUCUUCUUCUUUACAUAUGUAUAAUCCUUUAAAGAUGCAGGGUUGAAGACUAGUCUCAGGUCACUUGUCAGACAUGGCUGUGGGCCAAAGUUUGCAGCCCUUGGACUGGGCAGUGGGGUGAAAACA